rnacentral:tRNA from 1 species
GGAGAGGUGGCCGAGAGGCUGAAGGCAACGGUUUGCUAAACCGUCGUACGGGUUAUAGCCUGUACCCCGGGUUCGAAUCCCGGCCUCUCCG